rnacentral:rRNA from 1 species
AUCUAAAAAAUUAAAAUAAAAAAAAAAAUAAAAAUUUUUAAAAAAAACUUUUUUAAAAAUAUAAGUUAAAUUAAAAAUUUUAAAAAAUUAAAUAAUUUUAAAAAUUAAAAUAUAAAUUAAAAAUAAAAAAAAGAAAAAUUAACUUAUUAUUCCUUUUGUAUCAGAAUAAAUCAAAAAUAAAUAUAUAAAUUAAAAUUCUCGAAUUAAAAAAAUUUAAAAAAAUAAUUUAGUUAAUAUUACAUUAUUAUUAAAAAUAUUUUUUUAGAAACAAAAUAUUAUCCAAUUUUUAAGAUAUCUAGUUAUUUUAAAAAUAAAUUCAAUUUAAUUAUAAAUAAUUUUUUAUUUAAUUUUUAUUAAAUAAAAAAAAAUUUACAAUAAAAAUUUAAGGGAUAAACUUUAAAUUUUUUAUUAAAAUAUCAAUAAAUUAAAAAUAUAAACUAUAAAAAUUAAAAUUUUUAAUAAUAUAAAAAAUAUAAUAAUUUAUUUUAAAUUAAAUAAUUUUUUAUUAAUAUAUUUAAUAAAAUAUAAAAUAAAUAUAAUAUAAUAAAAUAAUUUAUAAUAUUAUAAUUUAAUAAGUAAAUAAAUAAAUUUUAAAAAUAAUUAAAUUUUAAAAAAUAUCUAAUCAAAAAAUUAAGCAAAAAAUUUAUUCACCUGUUUAACAAAAACAUGUCUUAUAGAUAAUAAUUUUAAGUCAAAUCUGCCCAAUGAUAAAUUUAAAUGGCUGCAGUAUAAAUAACUGUACAAAGGUAGCAUAAUAAUUUGUUUUUUAAUUUAAAACUAGAAUAAAAGAUUUAAUGAAAUAAAUACUAUCUCAAUUAAAAAAAUUAAAAUUAUUAUUUAAGUAAAAAAACUUAAAUUAAAUUAAAAGACGACAAGACCCUAUAGAAUUUAAUUAAUUUAUAAUUAUAUUAUUUAAAAUUAAUUUUUAAAUAAUUUUAAAUUAAUUUUUUUGGGGUAAAUAAAAAAUUAAAUAAAUUUUUUUAAAAAAAAACAUAAAUUUAUGAUUUUAAAAUCUUAAAAUUUAAAUUAAUAAAAUUAAUUACCUUAGGGAUAACAGCAUAAUUUUUUUUAAAAGACCUUAUUAAUAAAAAAGAUUAUGACCUCGAUGUUGAAUUAAGAUAAAAAUAUAAUGAAAAAAUUAUAAAAUUUAAGUCUGUUCGACUUUUAAAAUCUUACAUGAUUUGAGUUAAGAUCGGCGUAAGCCAGAUCAGAUUCUAUCUUUAAUAUAUAAAAUAUAUAAUUGUACGAAAGGAAUUUAUAUAUUAAAUAAUUUAUAAUAAUUAAUCAUAAACUAUAAAUAAAU